CAUACUCUACGUGAAUCAUCGAAUCUUUGAACGCAACUUGCACUCUAGGUUCUCCUAGAGUAUGCCUAUUUGAGUAUCGGUACACCCCACUCAAACACCAUUUUUGCGCACGCGCGCGAUAUAUGGAUGUUUAGAUCCGAUGAGUCAUGCGUGUGUGUGUGUGUGUGCGUGUGUGCAACACACCACCACACCGCGCACGCUGACUUGAAGUGUACACUGAAUCGGGCCUAUGCGCAUGCGCGCGCGUGGCACUGACGUGAUAUAGUAGCGGCACGCACUCGCGCGCACGCGAACACACUCGUCAGAUUCUCAAUGCGCGCGCGCCACUAGCCAUAGUGUGCCCAGUCACAACACACCAUUCAUCCAUAAUCACACACAAAUCUCGAUCUCAAAUUAGGCAGGACUACCCGCUGAACUUAAGCAUAUCAAUAAGCGGAGG
rnacentral:rRNA from 1 species